GGCUGGUCCAAUGGCAGUGGGUUAUCAGAACUUACUAACAUUAGUGUCACUAAAGUUGGUAUACAACCCCCCCCCACUGCUAAAUUUAACUGGCUUAAA
ensembl:misc_RNA Y_RNA Y RNA